rnacentral:tRNA from 3 species
CGCGCUGGUGGAAAGCGGCGCCGUGUCGGUGACCUUCCAGGACACCCACGACAACCCGGUGUUCGAACCCUUGCCGGGUGA